AGAUGGUGAACUAUGCCUGAAUAGGGCGAAGCCAGGGGAAACCCUGGUGGAAGCCCGCAGCGAUUCUGACGUGCAAAUCGAUCGUCAAAUUUGGGUAUAGGGGCGAAAGACUAAUCGAACCGUCUAGUAGCUGGUUCCCUCCGAAGUUUCCCUCAGGAUAGCUGGAGCCCGGUGCAGUUUUAUCAGGUAAAGCGAAUGAUUAGAGGUCUUGGGGUCGAAACGACCUCAACCUAUUCUCAAACUUUAAAUGGGUAAGAGGUCCGGCUUGCUCGGUUGAAGUCGGACGCGGAAUGCCGGGGCUCCUAGUGGGCCAUUUUUGGUAAGCAGAACUGGCGAUGUGGGAUGAACCGAAAGCCGGGUUAAGGUGCCCGAAUCGACGCUCAGCA
rnacentral:rRNA from 1 species